rnacentral:rRNA from 1 species
AGAGUUUGAUCCUGGCUCAGAUUGAACGCUGGCGGCAUGCCUCACACAUGCAAGUCGAAGGUAACGCGGGGCAACCUGGCGACGAGUGGCGAACGGGUGAGUAAUACAUCGGAACGUGCCAGUAAUGGGGGAUAGCCCGGCGAAAGCCGGAUUAAUACCGCAUACGACCUAAGGGUGAAGAGGGGGAUCGCAAGACCUCUCGUUAUUGGAGCGGCCGAUGGCAGAUUAGGUAGUUGUGGGGUAAAGGCCUACCAAGCCGACGAUCUGUAGCUGGUCUGAGAGGACGACCAGCCACCUGGGACUGAGACACGGCCCAGACUCCUACGGGAGGCAGCAGUGAGGAAUUUUUCGCAAGGGUGCAAGCCUGACGAAGCAAUGCCGCGUGCAGGAAGAAGGUCCGUGGAUCGUAAACUCUUUUGCUAGAGAAGAAACCCU